GUGCCAGCCGCCGCGGUAAUACGGAGGGUGCAAGCGUUGCUCGGAAUCAUUGGGCGUAAAGCGUACGCAGGCUGUUCGUUAAGUCGGGUGUGAAAGCCCAGGGCUCAACCCUGGAACGGCGCCCGAAACUGGCGAGCUUGAAUGCGGGAGAGGGAAGCGGAAUUCCUGGUGUAGAGGUGAAAUUCGUAGAUAUCAGGAGGAACACCGGUGGCGAAAGCGGCUUCCUGGCCCGACAUUGACGCUCAUGUACGAAAGCGUGGGGAGCAAACAGGAUUAGAAACCCCUGUAGUCC
rnacentral:rRNA from 1 species